UACGUAGGGUGCGAGCGUUGUCCGGAAUUAUUGGGCGUAAAGGGCUCGUAGGCGGUUUGUCGCGUCGGGAGUGAAAUCCACUGGCUUAACUGGUGGCUUGCUUUCGAUACGGGCAGACUGGAGGUAUGCAGGGGAGAACGGAAUUCCUGGUGUAGCGGUGAAAUGCGCAGAUAUCAGGAGGAACACCGGUGGCGAAGGCGGCCUGCUGGGCUAUGGCUGACACUGAGGCGCGACAGCGUGGGGAGCAAACAGG
rnacentral:rRNA from 1 species